rnacentral:misc_RNA from 1 species
GAGGCAUCCUUUUGUGGAAGACCUAAAAAGCAAGAAGUAAUCGAGUGAAUGAGAAUCUAAUUUAAAUAAUAUAAACUAGGAUUACAUCUGUAGCACUCAAAUAAUCAAUGAAAUUUCCAUCUUCAAGAACUUUAAACCCACAUAUAUCCUAACCGUAUAGCAAAACCAAGGAAAGUUUCAAAAUGUAGGUAGAAUUUAACGAAAUAAAAUAAAUAAAUAAAUAA